AACGAACGCUGGCGGCAGGCUUAACACAUGCAAGUCGAACGCCCCGCAAGGGGAGUGGCAGACGGGUGAGUAACGCGUGGGAAUCUACCCAGAUCUUCGGAACAACUGAGGGAAACUUCAGCUAAUACCGGAUACGCCCUACGGGGGAAAGAUUUAUCGGUUCUGGAUGAGCCCGCGUUGGAUUAGCUAGUUGGUGAGGUAGCGGCUCACCAAGGCGACGAUCCAUAGCUGGUCUGAGAGGAUGAUCAGCCACACUGGGACUGAGACACGGCCCAGACUCCUACGGGAGGCAGCAGUGGGAAUAUUGGACAAUGGGCGAAAGCCUGAUCCAGCCAUGCCGCGUGAGUGAUGAAGGCCUUAGGGUUGUAAAGCUCUUUCAGUGGGGAAGAUAAUGACGGUACCCACAGAAGAAGCCCCGGCUAACUUCGUGCCAGCAGCCGCCGUAA
rnacentral:rRNA from 1 species